rnacentral:rRNA from 1 species
GUCAGCUCGUGUCGUGAGAUGUUGCGUUAAGUCGCGCAACGAGCGCAACCCCUGUCCUUAGUUGCCAUCAUUCAGUUGGGCACUCUAGGGAGACAAACCCUCUUUGAGGGUGGGAAGGUGGGGAUGACGUCAAGUCCUCAUGGCCCUUACGGGCCGGGCUACACACGUGCUACAAUGGCGCAUACAGAGGGCAGCCACCACGCGAGUGGGAGCCAAUCCUUAAAGUGCGUCUCAGUUCGGAUCGGAGUCUGCAACUCGACUCCGUGAAGCCGGAAUCGCUAGUAAUCG